rnacentral:rRNA from 1 species
CAUGGCUCAGGACGAACGCUGGCGGCGUGCCUAAUACAUGCAAGUAGAACGCUGAAGAGAGGAGCUUGCUCUUCUUGGAUGAGUUGCGAACGGGUGAGUAACGCGUAGGUAACCUGCCUUGUAGCGGGGGAUAACUAUUGGAAACGAUAGCUAAUACCGCAUAACAAUGGAUGACACAUGUCAUUUAUUUGAAAGGGGCAAUUGCUCCACUACAAGAUGGACCUGCGUUGUAUUAGCUAGUAGGUGAGGUAACGGCUCACCUAGGCGACGAUACAUAGCCGACCUGAGAGGGUGAUCGGCCACACUGGGACUGAGACACGGCCCAGACUCCUACGG